rnacentral:pre_miRNA from 14 species
AAGAACUUCCCUUAUUCAGAGCUAGAGAGGAGGCAAGAUGUUGGCAUAGCUGUUGACCUAAGAACCUGCUAUGCCAACAUCUUGUCAUCUUUCUUGUCUACAUGCAGCAGGGCAAACUU